CCGCGCCGUCCCGCUCCGUGCGGGGCUCCGCGCUGCGCACUGGCGGUGCCGCUGACGGGCGGCCGCGGCGCGGUGCCCUUAUUGGUUUGAAAUUCCAUUAAAUAUAUUGCAAGAGCGCCUAGGUUAAGCUUGAUUUAAAUUUGCAUACAUUUUCAUAUAUUUAGCAGAAAUAAAAGAAGGCUUGCAGCUACCAGAAAGUCAUUAAGGCAUUAGUUUCCCUGAGAAGACAGAUCUGAAGAAAAUUCAAGAAAAUGAGAAAAUUGAUAGAAAGAAGGUGAGCUGAAUACAAUGCCUGCAUUUGUGGCUAACUCCAAGCAAUACAUUAUGAAGAUGAUGUUAUUCAGACACACACCCAAACAAUUUGAUUCAGACAAAUUGGAUACGAGACUUUGACCAGCAUGAGAAGAGAACAGUUACUAAAGAAACGCGUCAGAAUUGGAGGACAGUCAGGUAUUAUCCUGGACCACGUGAGGCAAUAUGGAACGCAGCCUACAUGUGGAGCUGAGCAUCACUCUCCUGCCCUGUGCACAUAAUGGUGCAGAUGCCAACAACGAUGAGACACAAAAUUCUGCCCAGAGCACUCUCACGUAUGCUGAUGAGACAAGAACUGACCAGGAAAGGUCUCACCCAGGAAACAAUUCUCUGACCUCUUUUGUGUGAAGUGCGAUGGUGAUAGCACUGUGCAGUGAGGAGUCCUGAAUGAUGGAAAUGCAGAGAUGUCUGCUGAGGUUUGCAUACUGCUGCCGCCACGCAGAGGAGAUCUCAUUCUGAAAGUGUGGAUCACAGCUGAACCCCCGUAUGGAUUAUUUCAAUGGAAAGUCGAGAAAACAGCUAUUGAUUUCUCUUUCAUGAAUAUAAAGCAGAGAUCUUGUGUAGAGAAGACAACGUUAAAAAAACUAAGCACCAGAAGGGGCUAAGGGAAAAGCCUGAGGUUAGAGCAGAAAGAAAUAUUCAUAUUCAACGUUUAUAGCCGUUUUGAAAUAAUAAAAACUGUGGUUAAACUAUUUACUUCAGUUAGCUACAUAGUCAGGAAAACCACCGUCACUUAGAUCCCACUUAUAAAGAUGUAUUCUACACCAUUCUGAAAUCCCAGAAGACAAUAAAAAAUUGUGGGCUUUCUGAUGUUUGAGUGUGUUGGGAUUAGGUGCAAGUUGUGGGGUGUUCCUGGAAACACUAUUUCAGAACAUUUGAACACUACAACUUUUGGAUCAAUCCAUGUAGUUGGGUGAUUUGUGUGAUACGGGUUCCUGGCUGUGCUGAGAUGGACUUGUGAUGCUGCUGCCUUUCCUGAGCUUCACCUCCUCCAGCUGAGCAUCACAGCCCUGGUGAAGUCAACCAAGAAUUUGCCAUUGACUUAAUGGAGCCAGUAUUCCAUCCCAGAACGGAGACAACUGAAGUUGAGUGCCAUGGGCUGGUGACCUGGAGCAAUCUCAGGUGAUGAAGGAGUAAAAAUUUCCUUGUCACAUAACUGAUGUCAUCAGCCCAAGGUUCCCUGAUUUCACUCUGGAUUUUCUGCUGUGUUUCCGUUCAUGUUGCAGCUCUGUGGAUAACGUGUUAAGGCGUUGUUCUUAAAAAAAGAAAGAUUUAACUUUUUUAAAGGGAUGGGUGAUUUGU